GAUGAAGAACGUAGCGAAAUGCGAUAAGUAAUGUGAAUUGCAGAAUUCAGUGAAUCAUCGAAUCUUUGAACGCACCUUGCGCCCUUUGGCUAUUCUGAAGGGCAUGCCUGUUUGAGUAUCAUGAACACCUCAACUCUCAUGGUUCGCCAUGAUGAGCUUGGACUUUGGGGGUCUUGCUGGCCUACGGUCGGCUCCUCUCAAAUGAAUCAGCUUGCCAGUGUUUGGUAGAGUCGCAGGUGUGAUAACUAUCUACGCUUGUGGUUUUCUGCCAGAUAACCUUCAGUGAUGGAGGUUCGCUGGAGCUUAUAAAUGUCUCUCCCCAGUGAGGACAGCUUUUUGAACGUUUGAUCUCAAAUCAGGUAGGACUACCCGCUGAACUUAAGCAUAUCAUAAGCGGAGGA
rnacentral:misc_RNA from 1 species